AUGGUUGCCAAUGUUAUAUGUACAUUGACCAUAUACCGCCUCCUUGCAGAGAGCUAUUGAAGAGGGUGCAGACUUCAUAGAAACAGAUAUCCUAUCAUCAAAAGAUGGUGUUCUUGUAUGUUUCCAUGAUGUCACUCUCGACGAAACAACCGAUGUAGCAUAUCACAGAGUUUGCGAAUCGUAAAAGGACCUAUGAUGUUCAAGGGGUCAACACCACAGGCUUUUUUCCUGUUGAUUUCUCUCUAGAAGAGUUAAAGAAGUUACGGGUGAAGCAGCGGUACGAAUUCCGGGAUCAGCAGUAUAAUGGGAAGUUUCAGAUU